GAUGAACGCUGGCGGCGUGCCUAAUACAUGCAAGUCGAGCGAAUGGAUUAAGAGCUUGCUCUUAUGAAAUUAGCGGCGGACGGGUGAGUAACACGUGGGUAACCUGCCCAUAAGACUGGGAUAACUCCGGGAAACCGGGGCUAAUACCGGAUAACAUUUUGAACCGCAUGGUUCGAAAUUGAAAGGCGGCUUCGGCCGUCACUUAUGGAUGGACCCGCGUCGCAUUAGCUAGUUGGUGAGGUAACGGCUCACCAAGGCAACGAUGCGUAGACGACCUGAGAGGGUGAUCGGCCACACUGGGACUGAGACACGGCCCAGACUCCUACGGGAGGCAGCAGUAGGGAAUCUUCCGCAAUGGACGAAAGUCUGACGGAGCAACGCCGCGUGAGUGAUGAAGGCUUUCGGGUCGUAAAACUCUGUUGUUAGGGAAGAACAAGUGCUAGUUGAAUAAGCUGGCACCUUGACGGUACCUAACCAGAAAGCCACGGCUAACUACGUGCCAGCCGCCGCGGUAA
rnacentral:rRNA from 1 species